GUUUGGCACUCGAACAUCUGGCGGCAGAGGAGCCACAUCACACCUGCGCCUCUGCUUUCCUGCCAUGUGGUCUCCUACUAAGCUUCUAGACGUUUACAGUCCCAACAUCAGCCUCACAUCUUUGCUGCUUAACUUUACACACCCGCAUCCACACACCGCUAUAACACACUUGUAUAAUAUGUGUAUAGUUUGUUGAAAUAUUUGAAAUUUGGAUUUCAUUAAUAAGCUUGUUAUUUUUACACUGCUUACAUUUAAUAAUUAGGUUUUAGAGGUUUGACUCCUGUUGAUGAAUAUUACGUGAAUACGCGUUUGAGGGCAUCAAACCAAAGUGAAACUUGCACCUACCACAAAACAACAGUGAUUCACAUUUACACAAACAUGAAUGAUGCACAAAUUGUUUUCUUUUCCAUUUGCAGUUUUCUUUUUGAAUUAAUAACUCUAUUGGCCCCAGUUUGUCUCCCUCUUUGUCCACCAGUCAUGUUAUUUACUGGUGGAGUGAAACCUCACUGGAGCCAGCAUUGCUCUGACUGAAGAUCUACGUGAAGAAAAAACAAGACUUAUGAUUUUGUAGCCGUUUUUUAUGUGUGACCAAAAAGGUCAUCAGUGUUUAAAAAACAUGUAACUUCUACAUACACGACAAAACACAAUAUUUAAAAAAUACAAAGAAAAAGAAACAGUUCUGACAAAAGUCAUGCCAGCAUCUGUAACACAGCCAAAAGGAUCAGCAACUGAAAAAAACGCCUAAAAUGUACAAAAAUGACCGAGGCUGUUUAUGAAGCCAUUUGAUCCUUUAUGUUCUGUAGGUCGCGGUUGUUUUAAGUCGUUGUCAGGCAACAAUCGAGAUGAGAGAGAACAGAGGCUCUGGUGAUGCAGGCAUCCGCUGCAGGGAGACACGGACGGACAGGAAGUCCGAAAGACAGACAGACAGACAGACAGACAGACCGGGGGGCUGGGGUACCUGUAGCCUCACAAAGCGUCCUAUUCUGCCGCAUAUCUCCGUUCACCCGGGUCCAAGUUUACUUCACUUACCGAUAACGAACCUCCGUUCUCCAUCUUCUCCGUUCUCCAAUUCACACAAAGCAUUUAAGGGAGAAGUUCCCGCUGCUCUGCCGCCGCCGCCGCCGCUGCCUUCGUACUCCGCUGUCGCCUUCACUGCCCGUCGGAAAUGUUGUCACAGCCUAUGAAUUCAGCGUUCACCAACAGGUGAACAGGUUCAGGUCCGGGUCCGGCAGACUAACGGUGCACCCAAGAACCCACCAGGAGCUGGUGAAGAUGAAGGUUGGAACUCAUCCCGAGCCAUGAUGUCAUGUCCACUGUGCCUCACAGGCGAGUUUGUAUGUUGGAGGUCAGGAUCUGUUCACAGUGGGCACCGUGUUCACAGGAUCACAUAUAUGAUACACAAAAAUAUGACAAUUAC